rnacentral:rRNA from 1 species
GAUGAACGCUGGCGGCGUGCCUAAUACAUGCAAGUCGAGCGAACGGACGAGAAGCUUGCUUCUCUGAUGUUAGCGGCGGACGGGUGAGUAACACGUGGAUAACCUACCUAUAAGACUGGGAUAACUUCGGGAAACCGGAGCUAAUACCGGAUAAUAUUUUGAACCGCAUGGUUCAAAAGUGAAAGACGGUCUUGCUGUCACUUAUAGAUGGAUCCGCGCUGCAUUAGCUAGUUGGUAAGGUAACGGCUUACCAAGGCAACGAUGCAUAGCCGACCUGAGAGGGUGAUCGGCCACACUGGAACUGAGACACGGUCCAGACUCCUACGGGAGGCAGCAGUAGGGAAUCUUCCGCAAUGGGCGAAAGCCUGACGGAGCAACGCCGCGUGAGUGAUGAAGGUCUUCGGAUCGUAAAACUCUGUUAUUAGGGAAGAACAUAUGUGUAAGUAACUGUGCACAUCUUGACGGUACCUAAUCAGAAAGCCACGGCUAACUACGUGCCAGCAGCCGCGGUAAUACGUAGGUGGCAAGCGUUAUCCGGAAUUAUUGGGCGUAAAGCGCGCGUAGGCGGUUUUUUAAGUCUGAUGUGAAAGCCCACGGCUCAACCGUGGAGGGUCAUUGGAAACUGGAAAACUUGAGUGCAGAAGAGGAAAGUGGAAUUCCAUGUGUAGCGGUGAAAUGCGCAGAGAUAUGGAGGAACACCAGUGGCGAAGGCGACUUUCUGGUCUGUAACUGACGCUGAUGUGCGAAAGCGUGGGGAUCAAACAGGAUUAGAUACCCUGGUAGUCCACGCCGUAAACGAUGAGUGCUAAGUGUUAGGGGGUUUCCGCCCCUUAGUGCUGCAGCUAACGCAUUAAGCACUCCGCCUGGGGAGUACGACCGCAAGGUUGAAACUCAAAGGAAUUGACGGGGACCCGCACAAGCGGUGGAGCAUGUGGUUUAAUUCGAAGCAACGCGAAGAACCUUACCAAAUCUUGACAUCCUUUGACAACUCUAGAGAUAGAGCUUUCCCCUUCGGGGGACAAAGUGACAGGUGGUGCAUGGUUGUCGUCAGCUCGUGUCGUGAGAUGUUGGGUUAAGUCCCGCAACGAGCGCAACCCUUAAGCUUAGUUGCCAUCAUUAAGUUGGGCACUCUAAGUUGACUGCCGGUGACAAACCGGAGGAAGGUGGGGAUGACGUCAAAUCAUUAUGCCCCUUAUGAUUUGGGCUACACACGUGCUACAAUGGACAAUACAAAGGGCAGCGAAACCGCGAGGUCAAGCAAAUCCCAUAAAGUUGUUCUCAGUUCGGAUUGUAGUCUGCAACUCGACUACAUGAAGCUGGAAUCGCUAGUAAUCGUAGAUCAGCAUGCUACGGUGAAUACGUUCCCGGGUCU